CCUCAGUAUCAUACAUGAAAGUACUCCAUGCAGCAUUGUUGCAAAUAAUAUUGCCACAUAAUUACACAUCUCCAGAUGAUUACAUUACUUUCUUAUCCAUAUGCUAUCAACAAUGCGUUCACUCCACAAAUAUCCAAGGCUGCAAGCAGCAUCUGUUAUUUGAACUAGGACCUAUAGACUAUAUAGAGACAAGCAUAAGUAUAUAGUAUUGACUUAUUGAACUAGCAACACCUUUAAGUGGAAGGUUGGUACAUGGUUGUGCUCUUCUGGAGUGCCCAAGCCCUGUGCUUAAGCUUGAUGAAGUUCGAAGCUAUUGUAUCCACAUCCUUGUUCUUGUCAUCUUUCAUUGGGGAGCCAUACCCACCACUGGUUCCUGGUUCCUUCAUAGCAUUGGCUUGGUUAUCCUGAAUAUCGACGUGUUUCCACUGGGCCUGUAAACGAAGGGGCUGGGCAUGAGACAUUGGACUUGCUUAGUUGUUCAAGGUAUUGAGAAAAUGCAAGGAAGGUCGGUAUGCAGCUGGGAUGUUUUGGUGCCACCUUCUUUUAUAGGCCCAACGUGACAUCUAUUUUUCUACUAGGUAAUCAAGCAUCCGAUUCUCUUUUGAAGAAUUGCCUUGUUCCCUUUCUUCAUUCAAAUUUGUUAGGCGUCACAUGUCUCAUCUCUUUUACUACUGCUAGCAGUAGUUCAGCUGAUUUUGACGGCUAGUAUUUUACUUUUUGAUUGUAAGGUUAGUUCCCAGUUAGGUUUCUUCUCUUCUCUUCUCCAUUAAGAGAAACGUCAAGUUAUGCUAUAGGUCAAAUAUUAUAGUUUUUUUUGUGUGUGUGUAUGCUCAAAUAUGAAUAGCAAGAAAAACAUACAUGGUGUAGUGUUUUUAUUUGUUUUGUAGUGUCUAAUAUUUGAAUGAUCUGGGACUUGGCUUCGUGUUGCAGGGAAAACAUUUGUUGUUCUCGUUCGGUUGAAAAUGAUUCUCUUUUAUCUUUUUUUUGUCUCUUUUAUAGUGAAUAAUUGGGUGGGAGGCAGAGAAGCAAGCAGAAAACAUGGGUCUUGGUGGAUAGAUAGAUAGGUUUGGCCAGGCCUGAUGUUGAUUGGUAACAGAAAAGCAGGUCUAUGGAGUAUAUCGUAGUGUCUCUUGUUUGGAAGAUGCUGCUUCCCUUGUGCACUGACAAUAUCUGCAGAAUAUCUAUUGCGUGAGCAUCUUAAGUUGUAGCUUUGAUAUUUAUUCUGACUAAAACAAGGGCAUUUUCUUAUCAUUUGGGAAUCGAUGCCAAAGUGCCAUAGACUAUUGGACAAGCAGCAAUCUUUUUUUUUUUUUUGCUGACAACUAGUGAGAUGUAUGUAUGGCAUGCUUGGCCACAAUAAUUUCUUGAUAGGAUGUGCAGGUUUAUAUAUGUGUUGCAGGUUUCCAUGAAUUUCCCCUCCGGCUUCCUCCCCACUAUUCCUCCCAGCACCCUGUUCACUCUCCGCCUCCGCUCACGGCGGCCUCGCCCUGGUUGUCGACUAUACAUGUACAAUUGAGACGGUCCCAUGUCCACUAAAGCACGGCCUUAAUUGUAGGUCGGGUUGUGCCCGCAUAUAGACUGAGCCCACGGCCCAUAAAUAAUUAUAUGUGACGGGUUCAAAUAUCCCAUAAUGCAAGCAUGGUCAUAAUUGUGGGUCGAGCCAUCGACCCAUAAAUAGUCAAGUGUGUCGG
rnacentral:lncRNA from 1 species